rnacentral:rRNA from 1 species
UACGUAGGGGGCAAGCGUUGUCCGGAAUUAUUGGGCGUAAAGAGCGCGUAGGCGGUCCGAUAAGUCGGCUGUGAAAGUCAGGGGCUCAACCCUUGAAAGCCGGCCCGAUACUGUCGGACUAGAGUCCGGAAGAGGCAAGUGGAAUUCCCGGUGUAGCGGUGAAAUGCGCAGAUAUCGGGAGGAACACCAAUGGCGAAGGCAGCUGCUGGGCGGUACU